CCUCUUGUCUUUAAAUAGCUCGUAGUUUUUCGGGCGCAAAUUGGAUUUGUUACGAAUUAUAGAAGAGAUAUGUACAUCAUCUUUUUUAUCUGUGUGCUUUCACGCAAAGAAUAUUAAAGUUCAACGAUUGUAGCGAUAUUAUAGUGAACACGCUCUCUUUAUAAUGAUUGAUUACGUUUCAUGGAAGUUUCUCCGUCUCCAGAGGAUGUUUUCGUUAACUUGAACUGUCAAGUAUUAUAUACUUAAAUGAGUAAAAACUCAAGCAGAGAACCUAGAUUUUAGUUCUCCUUGUAGUGCAUCGUAGCCGUCAGAUUUACGAUACCUCGACGUGCGUGACGUUGACCAGGUUUAAUGUUGGCGAGACAUCUUAUUACCGAAGAACAAUUCAAAAUGCGCCAUGAUUUAUAAACUUUGUAUCUACACGAUUCGAGUUGCGCGAUGUCCGGCCUGAAUUAUCUAACAAGUUAACUUGUAAAAUGUACAAGGUUACUGCACUAGCACAUUGACAAAUUUCGUUAGGCGCUUCAAGCGGCACAACCCACUUGCGUUUGUAAAUUACGCAGUAUUCGUAGCAAGAAUGCCGGACGAGGCUAUAUUAGAAUCGUUAUUAUAACAGUAGAAAUAAUAGAAAUAGCUAAACAUUACUUUUCUCGAUUAUGGAACCUUCAUUAGCAAUUAGUUUUUCACGUUACCCGCCCAAGUUUGUGUCAUUUUAUCAUACGGCAAAAAACAUUAAUUUGAAAAAAGAAUAUAUGCUAUAUAUAAAUGAUACAUUUCCAUGUCACGUGUAACUUAAAGAAAAAGAAGAUUUCGAUGUGGAUCAAGAAAGCACGAUCGAUAAUAAAAACGGAGCGAUCCACGAGCUUGGAAGUGGUGGAAGGCUCGCUACUAGUGCAGAUCGGACUGUACCUCGACUUAGAAGACGUUGAUGAGAUCUAUAUGAAAGAUGGGUCAGGGUCAUGCACAAUGCAACCGUGUACACACAACAGCAAAACUUCCUAAUACCAGAUCGAGGCGCAAACAAGCGACAGCCUUCAUUUCUCCCUCAUUUUCUUAUUUAAACCAAUCAAAACUUAUCUUUAUUAUAUACAUUUUUUUCACAUCUUAUUAAAAUAUUAUUAUGUUAAAAAUACAAUCCCAGCGAUAGAACAAUUUAUAUACGUAAAUAUACAUUUAUUUUUUCACCCUGAUUUAUUUCAAAUAACGUUUUUUUUUUCAAGUUGUAGCACGGACUGUAAAAUCGAAUAAAAUAUUUCCGUUGUAAUUAAUUAAUAAACAAUAUUUGCCAAUACG